AUAUUUUAAUGUUAAAUAUACAUAUGCAUGCACAGUGAAUCUUUAGGAUUAACUGUAUCUUUGGAUGGCUACCUUAGUGACUACCUUACCCAUAGGCCAGUAAGCCUAUCAUCAGUGGGGUUUAUAUUUGC